AGGUUCUUCCGAAGGGAUAAGUAUCAUACUUCAAAGGAUAGACUCAAGUUCAAAAUCAACUUUUCUUGGAUUAGUCACGGAGAGGUAAGUAUGGGGAUAGGGUAUUGUAUGGUCAGGUGAACCCUUCCUUCCAGAGAGCAGCUUAGACAUUGUCCCUUGUUUGAAGCUGCCAUCCUGACCCCUCUCUCACUCCCACAGCAGCAGCAGCAUCAAUAAACUUGGUGCAAUGAACAAAAUGUUCAUUAGCAUGUAAUACGGUAUACAUAUGCAUGCUUACGUCCAAGAGGCCCUGCUACCAUAAGCUAAGCAACAAACAAAAGCCAACCAAUGAACCACUGCAACUUCACAAAAAACAGCCCUCAAAACGACAGGGUCCAGGAUGUAAGAAGAAAUGAUGCCGAUGAUACUAGAGCGCCUAGCUGAGAUCAGAUCAGAAAGGGCUUUGUGGACACUAAGAGACGCCCAUCACCCAUUCUGAUGUCGUAUGCAGCCCAGUGCUCAAUAAGGAGGCACUCGUAAGUCCCUAUAGCUUUUGAGCAUCUGAACCACCAAUCCAACCCCUGAGCAAAGCAUCCCAUCUUGUGCCAAACCCUUUUUGUCUCAUGUGUUAGUCUUUUCUCCUCAAGCAGCACAGAGAUUUUGGGGCACACUGCUAGGCAUGUGGUGGAAGCACUGAUGGUGUCCAUGGAUCCAUUAAUUGGAGGUAAUAUAUGCAAUAAGACAUACACUCCACAAAGCCCUAGCUGCCCUGGCAAUAGCCCCUGCCAAUCUCAGCACUCAGUCACUGCCUCUCCUGACAGAUGUCUUGCCUCAGAAAGCUACCUCCCCCGUUCUUGCUCAUUCUACCAAAUAAAAAAAUGUGCCUGGGAACAAGAAGCUAUAAAGUACGUGAUAACUAUGGAGCACAUCGGGUGGCCAGGAGGGAGGCUGGGUGGACAUAAAUCCUUCCCCACAGUAUAGUCCCCAAGCCAAGGACACCCUUAGCCCUACCCGCAGUUUUGGAACACUCCUACCCAUAAAAAUAAAAUAGGUUUUUCCAAUUGAGCAUGUUAAAAGUCUCUUUCGAGUAGCUGCUGACCUUCUCUAAGAUAUUACUACUUUCUACAUUAAUAACAGUGACUUUAAUGAUGUCAAAGAUAUUAACAGGAUUAUUAUUUUAACAAUCAAUAUAAUGGUAAGGCAUUCUUGCCCUGCUAGUUGUGAAUGAGCUGUGGGCAGUGGGGUCUGAUGUGCUGGCUAAGAUCCAUCUGAGGAGACUGUAUUAAAAUAAUCUGUUUCGGUGUCAUCUCUCCUCCCAGACUGACUGUGAAUUCCUGGACAGCAGGGACCACAAUCUAUUUCAUCUUGGCAUCCCCACUGCCAUCAGGACAGGCUCUAGCCCAGAGUGGAUGCUUAGGGAGUAUCUGCCGAAUUGAACUCCAACAGAGCCACAUACCACAGUCCCCAUGCCCUACCCCCACCUCCUUCCUUAUCUAUGCUGUUUAAGAUACAAAGCGGCAGGCUGCACAGAUGCUAAAGCCAGGAAAAGUUGGAGAGAGACAGGAAGGGGAUAUCUUUGCAACAGCCCAAUCCACCCCAGCA